AAUUCUCGUUUACCGAAAUAACGAAACUGACACGGAUACGCGGUUUGGAAAGAAUGGAACUCGCUAUGAUUCGAAAACGAGGUCAGACGGGGCACAUGUUCACGCGCUCCCGUUUGACUUGCCACGGGAUGCUACGGGACACCCUGUAUAUACAGGCUCACAGGAAGUCGACAGAAAUAUUCGAACGCUCACCGCAGGAAAUUUUUACCAACGUAUUACGUACCUACGUAUGUACAUUCGCUGCGAUGAACACGUUACGUAGUAAAUACAAUUAUUCCACUGUUUCCACCGCACACGUACAUUUGUUUAAAAAAAUCGUAUACGACGAUCGAUAGCUGUUUCGAGCAAUAUAAGCCCAAUUAGCGUCAAAGCCCACUGAACCAGCGAAUAUCGAGACGUAUCGAUACAACAGAUAGUAGCGUCUAUGUGCAUUUUCACGCUAUAUAACAUCGCGAUUACGAUCGUUCUCGCGACAGUGUCGAUGAAAUUUCAAGAUAUUUAUUUACUACAUACACGACAGACACGACACGCUCGCAAGAGGUUUCAAAUAUUUUCACGAGCCAGUUACGUAAAUGCUUAGUUACGGUGUGGCUACGUAUUGGGAAUAAUUUGUGGCGGAGCGUAUUAAACAAGCCACUUGCUCGCUGUUCUCCGGUUGUCGCAACGCGGUGCGGUGCGGUGCGGUGCGGAGCGUCGCGUCGCGUAGCAUCGCAGAGACAAGGAGGCGCGCGAGCGAGACGUGCAGCGCACGUGGACAACGUUGGAUCGCGUUCGUCAUCGUGGAUGCGUGCAGGGAUCUACACGCGAACGUCGCUCGCCUGCGUGGACUCGUACGGGCCGAGGAUCGAGAAUAAAUGACGUCAUAAGAAAUGGGGUCCUUGAUGACCUCCCGUCGCGAAGAACGGGCUUGAGAAUCGGAAAAAGAAGACGAUCACAGUAAUCUUCGAAAUGCCAGUUUCUGCGACACGUGUGCAAUAAAAAUAUCUGUCCCUUUGGCGAACACGUGUCAUCGAGGAAUUAAGACUUUAAACGAGGAUCGAGGGUGAUUAGCAGAGAAC